CGCGCUCCCGAGAGCCGCCGCAUCCGCCGCGGCACCGAGUUUUCAGCCGGGCAGAGCCAGACGUCAGCAGGAGGAGGGCGGAGCAUAAAGGGUCCCUGGCAUCAUUUCGCCUCAGCGGAUUGAGAGUGAGAGCAAGGUGCAACACCCCACAGUCCGGUGAGGUCUGCGACCAGGCACAAGGCGGCUGUAACUAGAUGCCCAGCGUCUCAAAAAGUGAACAUAACGGACCAGUAUGUCAAUUCAGUGUGGGAGUGUUUGAGAGAUGGCGGCUAUCAAUCUUGCCU